AUGAGUUUGUAUCACUGUGGUGGACUUUUGGUGGAGGAACGAAACUGUUUGGCCUUGCCCACCCUCACAGUCCUGCCCCCCUCCAGUGUGGAGCUGCAGCAGGGGAAGGUCACACUUGUGUGUUUGGCCAACAAGGGCUUCCCCUCAGACUGGAGACUGAGCUGGAAGGUGGGUGGGAGCAGCUGGAGCUCGGGGGUUAGCCAGAGCCCCGGGCUUCUGCAGAAGGACAACGGCCUCUACAGCUGGAGCAGCACCCUGACCCUCCAGGAGGAGCAGUGGCUAAAGAGCACAGUGACCUGUGAGGCCACCAAGGACUCCCAGCCUCCUGUCAGCCAGACACUGAGGAGAGAUCAGUGCUGAGCAGUGAGAACCACGCGGGGGUUUCAGCUGAUAGAGCUCCUCUCACUCUCAAAUGAGCUCAAACACGUCUGUGAUUAAUGCUGAAAUGAUGAUCUGAUUAUUUGACUAAAGAAAAUAAAGAGUUUCAAU